CUCUGGACGGGGUGCGACCGUCCAGGUUUGUUCAGCAAAGAUUUUAAAAAAAAUAAACUUUAUUCUAGAAACAUUUAUGUGUACAGAAGCUGUCAUCGCCAAACGUCUCUAUAACAACUCGACGCACCACCUGAGGAGGAAAAAAAACAAAAAACAUCCUCUUUUUUUUUUUUAAAAGAAGUUUUGUCGGUGAGGAAAGCAGGGAGGUGUCCGAUAAUGGGCGCAUGACAUUUAGCGCACGUGUGUCACCCUCGGUUUGGGACCACCGAGUGAAACGUUGGACUUCUCGUCAUCAUCUUGCUAGCAAAUGUUAGCAACGUGUAGCUCACAUAGUGAAGACCCCGGCCGGCGGAGGGGAUCAAACCCAGCGGGUUUCUCCGGCGGUGGCCACACACUGACCUAACCCGCUACAUGGCGUUACCCGGGCAAGUUUCUAGGAAGUAGACUGAACCCAACAAAGCAUAGGCAUGUCCAAGUUAAACUAGUUCCCCAACGCAAACAAUAGCGAGCAGAAGAUGUUCAGCUCCCGCCUGAGACUUGCAUGUAUCAUUUCACACCGUUAAGCCUGAAGCAAAGAAAACUCCUCUCAUCCUCAUCUCUCCUUCCUGCAAGUCUUCCUCUGACGGAGGAUCAAUGCAACAUCCCAGAGUUUCUCCGUCUGUGAUUUCAAGAGGCCAUGGCUAAGACUAAAAGAACAUUAAGGCAAGA